GAUGAAGAACGCAGCGAAAUGCGAUAAGUAAUGUGAAUUGCAGAAUUCAGUGAAUCAUCGAAACUUUGAACGCAUCUUGCGCUCCUUGGUAUUCUGAGGAGCAUGCCUGUUUGAGUGUCAUUAAAUUCUCAACUACACUGACUUUGAAUUGGUGUGGCUUGGAUUUGGGGGGAAAAUUGUUGUGGGCUUUUUGUAUAGUCUGCUCCCCUGAAAUUGAUUAGCGGUACCUUUGUGGAACUGUCUACAGGUGUGAUAAUUAUCUACAUCUUAGACAUCUGCUGGAAUGCUGCUUUCUAAACCUUACUUGUAUUGACAAUCUUGACCUCAAAUCAGGUAGGACUACCCGCUGAACUUAAGCAUAUCAAUAAGCGGAGGA
rnacentral:misc_RNA from 1 species